AGAGUUUGAUCAUGGCUCAGAAUCAACGCUGGCGGCGUGCCUAACACAUGCAAGUCGAACGCGAAAGGGGAGCAAUCCCUGAGUAGAGUGGCAAACGGGUGAGUAACACGUGGGUGACCUGCCUCAGAGUGGGGGAUAACGUCCCGAAAGGGACGCUAAUACCGCAUAACAUCCUGCCUUUGGAAAGGUGGAGAUCAAAGCCGGGGAUCGCAAGACCUGGCGCUUGGAGAGGGGCCCGCGUCUGAUUAGCUAGUUGGUAGGGUAAUGGCCUACCAAGGCAACGAUCAGUAUCCGGCCUGAGAGGGCGGACGGACACACUGGGACUGAGACACGGCCCAGACUCCUACGGGAGGCAGCAGUGGGGAAUUGUUCGCAAUGGGCGCAAGCCUGACGACGCAACGCCGCGUGGAGGAUGAAGAUCUUCGGGUCGUAAACUCCUGUCGAGCGGGACGAACACCUAUCCGGCUAACAUCCGGGAAGGCUGACGGUACCGCUAAAGGAAGCCCCGGCUAACUCCGUGCCAGCAGCCGCGGUAAUACGGGGGGGGCAAGCGUUGUUCGGAAUUACUGGGCGUAAAGGGCUCGUAGGCGGCCAACUAAGUCGGACGUGAAAUCCCCAGGCUCAACCUGGGAACUGCGUCCGAUACUGGAUGGCUUGAAUCCGGGAGAGGGAUGCAGAAUUCCAGGUGUAGCGGUGAAAU
rnacentral:rRNA from 1 species